rnacentral:tRNA from 1 species
GGGGCUGUGGUUCAGUGGUUAGAACACUUACCUCUCAUGCGUGAAGUCCUAGGUUCAAUUCCCAGUAUCACCA